rnacentral:rRNA from 1 species
GACGAACGCUGGCGGCGUGCUUAACACAUGCAAGUCGAACGAAGUGGCGAACGGGUGAGUAACGCGUAAUCAACCUGCCCUUCAGAGGGGGAUAACAGUUGGAAACGACUGCUAAUACCGCAUACUGACGGAGGGGAUUGCGUCUGAUUAGCUAGUUGGUGGGGUAACGGCCCACCAAGGCGAUGAUUAGGAGGCGGUCUGGGAGGGAUGACGGACAAAUUUGGGCUGGGAACAGGCCCAAACUCCUAAUGGAGGCAGUAGUGGGGAAUCUUACGAAAUGGACGAAAGGCUGACAGAGCAAAGACGCGGGUGAGAAGACAGGCUUCGGGGUGGAAAGUGCUGUUAAUCGGGACGCGGUACCGGAAGAGAAAGCAACGGCUAACUACGUGCCAGCCGCCGCGGUAAUAC